rnacentral:rRNA from 1 species
CCUAUAUGAAGUCGGAAUUGCUAGUAAUCGCGGAUCAGCAUGCCGCGGUGAAUACGUUCCCGGGCCUUGUACACACCGCCCGUCACACCAUGAGAGUCGAUAACACCCGAAGCCUGUAGUCUAACAGCAACGAGGACGCAGUCGAAGGUGGGAUUGAUAAUUAGGGUGAAGUCGUAACAAGGUAGC